CCGGUUCAGGGUUUUGACGGCUGGCUCUCACACGGCCGCGGGGGUUCGACUCCCCCGAACCGGA
rnacentral:tRNA from 1 species